GUUUGGCAGUGGUACGGCAGGUGUAUUCUCAGCCAAGACUGGAGGUCAGUGAUCUUCUAGUUGUUCAGUAAUAUAAAAUACGUGUUGAAGAGAAGAGAAGGCUAGCUACAGUCAGUAUGCAUGACAUCAGUGAGAGCUUGUGAAUACACCCACCAGGUGACCAGACUGUUCCUGAUGUUAUCUGAUGCUAAAAGUAUGAACACUGGGUGCAGGUUUUAAGCCUUCAUUUACCUACUUAAGGAUUGGCCAGAUUUGCACAGCCAUAAUACUUGUUCAUGUAAGGGGUUCCAUAUAAACGAUACACAGGGUACAUGCAUGCAAGCUAUUGCUGGUUUGAGUUGUGAAUGACAAAGCACACUGACUAAUUUUCAGAGAGUAUUUUUGAAUACUCAGUGACUUUGAUAAAAGACACUCGUGUCAUUCCCAAGAUGAACUGGAAAAGUCUUUUCAUCCUGGUCGCUGCCUUCAUCUUGUACCUGGUGAUUGGAGCGUUAGUCUUCUCAGCCUUAGAAUCUACUCAAGAGGAGGAGACGAAGAUUGACCUGAGGGCCUACAAGGAGGCCAUCCUGUCUAAUUUCUCGUGCAUUUCAGAGGAAAGCUUAGAGCAAUUGGUGGAACGGAUCAUGAAUGCCGUGGAGAGUGGCGUCAAUCCACUCUCGAAUGUGUCCAGUAAGUCCAACUGGGACUUUAGUAGCUCCUUCUUCUUCUCUGGCACCGUGGUCACCACCAUAGGCUACGGUCGACGUGCACCCACUACCCAAGGCGGGAGGGACUUCUGUAUCCUCUAUGCCAUCUUUGGCAUACCGUUUACAGGAUGGUUGCUGUCUAUCGUGGGCCAAUUCUAUCGGGAGUCAUUUUGGGGCCUGACAGAGCGCCUAGAUUGCAUGCUCUGUGAUUACUGCUCUGUGACCAAACGGAAACUGCGUCGUUUCAUUGUGUGGUUGGUGGUGGCGUCUUUCACUUACGGCCUUCUAGUGCUUGCCCCUGCCGGAAUCUUCACCAUAUUGGAAAAUUGGAGUUACAGGAUUGCCCAUUAUUACUGCUUUAUCACCCUGACAACCAUUGGAUUUGGGGAUUUUGUUGCCACGGUAGACCCCAAACAACAAGCUCCUGAAGUGCUGGAGAUUGUCUAUGACCUUGCUGUUGUCGUCUGGUACAUUUUCGGUCUGUCUUUCAUUGCGAUAGUGAUCAGCGCCAUUGGGACAAGGGAGCGCAAAACUGCCAAGAAACUUGUGUCAACUCUCAAGAAUCAACAGAAUAGUUCACCAGGGGAGACAUCUCCCAAUAAGCGUGCUUCCUAUUCCUUGCAAAAUGCAAUUCGGUUAACCCUACAAGAUGGGAUUGUCGGGCCAGUGUCUUACCAUAAGGGACAAUCUUCCAAUGACCCACAAACUGAAGUACAUGUACCUUCAGAGGCUGCAUCAAAUAAACAAAAUAACAUGCUGCCAUCAACAUCACAGGAAACUCAGUCAGGCGUGAAUCCACAUUAUUCAGCCAAUAACAACAACGGCAAUGCAUUUAAUAGCCAAUCAGGGCUAGAGGCUGGUUAUGAGAUUCAGGAAUGUGACAGCGUGAACAUAAAGCUAAAUGUACUCAACACUGCUCUACCUCAGAAUGACAACAUGCAAAAAAAGAAAAAACCCCUGGGAAAGAAAGUCUCCUUUGACAGCAGUUGCAAUCCCAACGAUGGAACCAGUAAAAUUCGACGUAAGGCUACAGGCAAACGAAAGGGCUCUACGAGGAAAUCCAAAUUGGAAGUAGCUGGGGAGGAAGAUGAAAGUGGCGAGAAUAUACAAGUAGUAUCAUCAAGCACCAUUUCCAUGGCAACUGGAAAUCCUUGUUGCCAAUGUAAUUGCCACACCAAUUACAGCGAUGCAAGUCAGCAUGUCUUACCUUGAGUUCAGUCCAUUUGAUUCAAAGAAGACUCAAAGCUUUGCAUGAAUUAUGCUGAAUGUACAUGUAACUUUAAAGUUGUCAGAUUCUCAUUUCUGACGGACGGAGAGUGCGCAAUUGUUACAAACUGCCAGUGGAUAAAAGUUAAUUGCUUGAUGCCGCACCUUGUUCAAGGGACUACCAUAUAGGCAUGUUGGGAGUUCCUUCUACAUGUACGUGUAUGUACAUGUGUAGAUGAACCCAGAGUGUAUACCUGUACCAAAGCAUUUACUCAGAACAUUGGACACGUACAUACAUUUAACCCAGACCACUGAACUGAAAACACUGUAAUACACUAUGACUCAAAGAUACCGAACAUGUACGCAUACAUGUACAUUGAAGCCCAAACUAAACUGAGUGUCCAUGAUGCACACAUACAUGUACACUGUAUUUACCAACGUACCUUGGACAUGUUUGUGCAGCAUGCAUUUUCACUGUAAAUACUUGCAUCAUGAUACCCAACCACUGUAAAAUGUCUACAUAUUGAAAAUUUAAUGACAUUUGUUAUGAAAUUGAGAUUGAGAGGUCGUUGACUUACAAUAGAAAACACACUGCAUGAAUUGAUAGAGCUGUAAAGUGAGUCUAAUUCCCUGUGCACUUUGGACUUGUCAAAAUGGUGCAGACAUUAUCACCAUGCAGCUUGUUGUUGUACCGGUAGAUUAACCACUUGCUGCCGGGUGUAAUUUAACGUUGCAUGAUGUAAAACUGGGGAAUUUCAAGAUUUUCCGUUUUCAAAAUUCUUCAAAAAUCAUAUUUGCUGGACGCUUUUGUCGUAAUCCGCUUGCAUUGAAUGUCACAAACAGUGGUAUAAUCUUUCCAAACAAUGACAGAUCUCCUCUGCUAUUGACAACUGAAAAAAUGUUGGCAAUUCCCAACAGCUCGGUCUUUUGUUCCAAGUAUGGUCUUUUGUUAUAAGGCCCACAUUUCAAAGGGGUUUACAUUAAAAUAUGACAUACAUGUUGCAGGCUUCAAAGUUUCUAAAAUGGGGAGAACAAAAUGAUUAUCCUUGCUCACUAUAAAGCAUUGCCCUCAACUGGUUGGUGCAAAAAGAUUUCUUUCCUCGAUUUACACACAUGUACACCAAAGAUUACAAUCACACUCAGCAUUGCACAGUCUCCCAAAUACACACAGUAAAUUUGUAUUCAACUUGCAUUGUGGCUUGGAAUGCUACAAUGUAUCUCUUCGCAUGUAGAAAUUUGUCCAUGGUACAAAGGUAUUUGCUUUUAAUACUGCAGUGAUAUUCUGUGAGAUUUAAGUAUUACCUUUAAGCAUUGGCAGUUUAUUGUUAAUUUUUACACUAAAGCCAACACUGACAUUUAUGAAUUAAGUUCCUCUUUUUGUUUGAGGCUCUCAUCGCCAACUGAGUACCUUAAAUUUGGCCCUUGACUCAAAAAUCCUGUUUUUAUUCCACCCACACUGUCCAGAACAUCUGACCAAAUUAAGAAUCAAAGAAAUGAAAGAAGACGAUACCCUCAUUUUGUGGGAACAAAGCAGGUAAAAUACAUUUUCAUGUCCCGUAUUGCCAGCAGAUUACUACUUGUGCAUUUGCAACUUUAUCUGCAAAACUUAUACAAAAGUUCAAUAAGAGUGAUUUACUUUAAAACUCAUGUAAAUAAAUUAAUUCAAAACAAGACAAUCACAUAUUGAACUCUUUGCAUCGUUUUAUAUAGCCUUUUUUUUUCAAUUUUUUUCUUCUGAGAAUUUGAAUUUUUUACCAAUCAACCCUCUGAGGCCAAAGAAGAAAGAGAUAACCAUAGAGCUUAAAAGGGACACCUUGAUAUAAAACAAUACACUACUGUUACAUGUAUACAUGUGACAUGUUUGUAAAUUUGUUUGUCCUUGUAUCAUUUGCCAAUUGAUACAUAAUACAAAUGUGGACAUUUCAGUAUUUGGUUUUUUUUGUUGCGUUUUUAUGCAAAUUGAAGGUACAAUAUAAAUUUUUUGUUUUCAAUUUGUACAUCACAGUGUGCCCUCUCAGAAAAUGAGGGCCCCUGAGCGCCCUAAUCAAAAUGUACCCAAAUGCCAUUAGUGGCUCAGGAUUUUAAUGCAUAGCUCAUCAUACAUGCAUGAUGUGAUUAAGAAUGUAAUGUGGACAGUUAUUAAGAAAAAAAUCGCUUUGCAAAUAAUGUGAAAAACAUUCAUUUAAUUGGAAUGCAUGAUAUAUGCAUGCAUACAUACAUGCACUUAAGUAUUCUUGAUGUGAAAUAAUUACACAGCAUACAUGUACAUGUAUAAUUGAAUUGACAGUACAUGUCGGAUAGUGCAAUAUCCUUAUAUUAAAAAAAUAAAGUGCUGUGAAUAUUUGAAAAAACUUGCCUUACACAAAAUAGACUUUUGUGAAGCUUGCCUUAGAUUUGAAAAGCAUACAUGUGUACAUGUGCCUCUAUCACAAUGCCAUUAUAUAGUGAUAAAGUACACGUAUGACUGUGUAUGCACAUAUUAUAGUACAUGUUCAAUAUAAGCUUGAGUAAGUCCCUUACAUGUAUUUCGACUGUGUUAAGAGUUUAUGGAUCCUACAAUAGAUCUAAUCUAGAUUUUAUAUACAUGUAAUUAUAAAAAAAUAUUCUAUAUUUGUUCAAAAAAAAAAUCAGGUUUUACCAAUCAGUGUAUUUACAGUAUAAUGUGUUUAGAGUUCCCCAGUCAACAGAAAGCUUAAAUUCCACUAUGAUGGAAGUUAGAACACAGAGUGUGUACCAGUAGAUUCAAAUCACAAAGUGUAUUUUUCUCACAAGCUCUCAGAAAUCCAAAACAUUUAAGUUUCCAUUUCCCUAAGUGUGCAGUGGUUGAAACAUUCAUUAUUGAGGAGCCAUAAGCUACUGAUUGAAAUUACUCUCUGUGGGUUCAUUUUGGAUUGAUUCUCCUAAGGGUAUACUCAGCCAGCAUGUACCGGUACAUGUACAUGUAUGCUAUGAUGUGUAUGUGAUGUGCACGGACAAGCAUUGCCGUACUGUGCACAGGAAGCAGGGCCAUUUCUCCUAAUACCGGUACAUGUGUAGUUUCUAUCAGCUCAUCUUUUCUGCCGGGCAGUAUUGACGACCACUCUCUUUCGUGUAGAAAUGGCUUGUCAUACAAAUUGAUUCUGUCAAGUGCAGUUUACAUGUACUGGUACCUCUGAACGUUUGUCAAGUUGGUGUUCAGGGACAAGGAGAAGCAAAUAUGGUAUUUCAGUGAUCAAAUGGUGUACUGUAACAUUAGAUUGAACAGAGCUCAGGUCAGGGUAAGACCAACAGGUAUGUUUUCAUCAAUAACAAAUGUAAGUGGAUUGUCUUUUAGUUUGAAUGGUAACUCAGUUAAGCUUUUCAGUCUGGAAAACUGGCUUCUUUAAUUGUGCAAUAGGGAACUGCAUGUAAUCUGUUGUUCACUGUCAAAAACUCAGGGUGUUUAUAAAAGUGGAAUGCACAAGUCUUGCCAUAUCUGUGACAUAAUCAAGCUUGAAAGAGGUCUGCUUUGGUCAUUUGCUAGUAAUUACCAGCAUUUUGUACAUGUACGGGGUAACAUGUACAUGUAUGUGCUCAAACGAGCAGCCUGUAUUCCUCAAUUAUACAAUAUGAAGAUGAUCUGCCUAACAAAAUGUUGCAACUAGAACUACUUGUCCUCAGUUGUAUAGCUGUUUUUAUGUCAAUUCUUUUUCACUCGCUUGUAAUUAAGGUUAAUCGUAAUCUUGACAUUUUGCCAUCUUGUUGAGAUGUUUAUAUUUUAUGUGCUGGUACCAGAUUUGUAUACUGAUGGAUGACAGAGAAUUUCAAAUGUCACUUUUUUAAUAACUGCGUGCAAUUAAACAAUUCAACAAUGUAGAUUCCAAAUUUAUUCUCAGCCCAUAAUACUGUCGUUGCAUCAUCGGCACUCAAAACUUUAGUCACAAAAUGGCAAAAGUAUGAUAAAGUUGCUCUCCAACAACAAAGGGUUGGGGUGUGGAUAUUAUGCACACAGCAAUGGCAUCAUACGUGUGUGCUUUCUGAAACUUGAAGUACAUGUACAUAGUAGGCCUACUGGUACAUACUUGUAUGUAUCCAUUGACAAUGUGUGCAUUUUGGCAAGUCACCACACCCUAUUGAGCUAAGAGGUUCAGGACAGAUACAUGUAAUGUACAUAUGUACCCAGUGUUCUCCAACUUUGAAAAGUAAAGGUUGGUGCUGGGUUUGUGACCAAUGCGAGCUCAUUUUCCCUAGGCUUUUUUGAGCUAAAGAUUUUAAGAAGACUUCAAUUUAUUUAGCACAGAAUUACUAAAAAGAAAUUCAGUUAAAAGAUCAGUACCAGUGAGUACAUGUAUCCGCAUUCCACAGUUUCAUGUAUUUUCAAUUAUUGAUUGAGAAAGACAUGUUCCAAGGGAUCUGGGUUGUAAAAGUAUUAAAAUCGACUUUAUCCCUCACUUGUUUGAAAAAGAAAGUGUUUCUUUUUUUGUUCAUCCAUUCAGACAUCCAUUCCUCAAUUUUCUUCACUUCCAAAUAUUGUUGAAGACAGAACCUAUUGUAAAAAGGAUCCGGGUGGCUGAAAUGUGUCAAAAGCAAGAUGUUUCUCAUGUUAGUUAUUGUAAACCGACAAGUAUUUAACAACUAAUCCAAGUCCCAAAUCAGUGAGGAGACGUGGAACGCAAACCGACGGCCCAGCCUUGCGCCACUGCUGUCCGGUGGGGGUAAUUUAGAACAUGAAAUUACAGUAGGCCUGUAUGAUGAACCCUUACCUUUGUUAGAUCGAUGCUCUAACCACGAGUACUUUUGGCUCUAUCACAAAAUGAAUCUCUGUGUUUGCGUCUUGUUUGGUCAUCUCCUUGCUCUUUUGGCUCAGGAGGCACUGUUGGUCCUUGGGGGGUCCAGGGGGAACAAAUCCAAAGGCAAUUAGAGUAUUUUGUUUUGCCAUGAUGCGUACAACAUGCACACCGAAAACAGACCACGAACAUGUACAGUGUAUGUACUCAACAAGUCUGCAAGCACGAGCUCUGAACACUGAGAAGCAGGCGUAUUAAAUUUGCAAGUGUUUCUUUUUGUUUCAAGUAAGCCUGGUUAUUCUGGGAUAUUGAAUCAUCAGUAAUCAGGCCACCCAGACAGACGCCGUUGUGGCCAGCGAAGGAAAGUUCACUAGUGUGCUGCUUACCGACGUAUUUUAAAAAUAACGUUUUUCAUUUCAGUGGAAAACAUACCAUGAGCAAGUCUUGUCCAGGGUAGAAGAAUGCUAAAUAAUGUCAUCAGCAAAAAUAACUUGAACAAAAGCUCUUAUUAGUAAGCCUUGAGACUGGAUGUUGAGGGUUUUAUCAAAGGUUUAAUCAUACAUAAUGAAAAGAACCUGACUGUGAAACACAAUGAAACACAAUCUUCAUCUUCAUCUCUAUCAUGACUAGUAUUAGUGUGACUUGGCUUUGUGGUGAACAAAGAUCAGGAAGGAUGACCCUGUGGACUGUAGGCCUGCUCAUGCGUAGCUGACGCUCACUACUAUAUCAUGAUUCUGCCACAGCACAUCAAACAUAAUACAUACACAUAUGUACACACGUAGCCUACACACGCGAACAUUGCACGGAUCAAGUGUACAUCUGGUUACCAGGCAAUCACACUAAUACAACUAUAUAAUCAAAUUACCAGGCCAGACUAAAUUUGUUGCCAUGUGGGGUGAUGUACAUGUACAUGUGUGGCGAUUUAAGCAUGGGGUUGCCUUGUGUUGCAAACUUGAGGACAGGUUAUGGCCACAUAUCUCCAUCCACUAAUGGUGGGCGUGGGUUUUGCGUUAUCUAUGCCUUGAUUGGUAUCC
rnacentral:misc_RNA from 1 species